rnacentral:lncRNA from 10 species
GGGUCCUGUAAUUUCAUUUUGCACUGGGCUCUGCAAAUUAUGCAGCCGGCUGGCCAAGAGAGAACUGUGGGAAGACCUGUGCUGAGGAGGGAGAAAUAGCAGUGUAGCAGGAUGAGUCGCAGACAAAACUCCUCAGACACCAGAUUAAAGAAGGAAGAGGUUUUUAUUCGGCCGGGAGCGUCAGCAGACUCGCGUCUUAAGAGCCGAGCUCCCCGAGAAAGAAACUCCUAGCCCUUUUAAGAGCUUACAACUCUAAGGGGUCCACGUGAAAGGGUCAUAAUAGAUCAAGUAAGCGUGAGGAACGUGACUGGGGGCUACACACAUCAGCUAACAGGACAAAAAGUUUUACGGUGCUUUCUCACACAAUGUCUGGAAUUUACGGAUAACACCAGUCGUUUUGGUCAGGGGUUAAUAUUAUUAUUAUCAUUCUAACCACCAGGGCCAGGUGGUGGCGCCAAGGUCGUCUAGCUAUUUAUCUUACUUCUGUUUCUUUCCAGCUUUUUGCUUUCUCCCUUUUCUCCUGUCUUAUAAACUAGGGAAAAGGGGAGGUUGGGGAGAAGCUGGGAAGGACAACAGGAGAAGUGGUGGUCUCAUUCCAUAGCAGUAGCGCUGUCCCCUUUUCCUUCCUGGGCAUCUGAACCCCCUG